rnacentral:sRNA from 1 species
AGUUUUAGAUUGAACCGCAAGGGGAUGUCUACAACUUAGCGGCGAACGGGUGAGUAACGCGUGAGUAACCUGCCCGCAGGACCGGGAUAACUCCGAGAAAUCGGGGCUAAUACUGGAUAAGAAGUCCAUUCACAUGAAUGGGCUUGGAAAAGAGCAAUCCACCUGCGGAAUGGCUCGCGUCCUAUCAGCUAGUUGGUGAGGUAACGGCCCACCAAGGCGAGUGACGGGUAGCCGGCCUGAGAGGGUGUCCGGCCACACUGGGACUUAGACACGGCCCAGAGUCCUACGGGAGGCAGCAGUGGAUCUGCAGAAAAA